GGUCUCGUACCAGAGAGUGGUCAACGUUGUGGAGAGGAGGACUGCAGUAACAACACCUGAGCAUGAAUAUGACAGAGAAUUUGAAUACGAAACCAGUCGCUAUAGCAGGAUUCAAAGUUACCAUGACAAUGACCAGAGAGGAUACCAUAGCGACAGCAUUCACCUGGGAAACGAUCGUGGAUACCAUGGCCACAGUACUGCCAUAGGUAGCAUCAGAGGGCGGAACUCCCCAAACCCCCGACAGGAGGAUUACAGAGAUUCAUACUACAGGGCAUUCCGAGAUGACGUUCCGGUUGGACUUCAAGGAGAGAGGAGAACAAUCUCCCUGACCUCGACCAGUCAGGCUUCAAGACUGGUAACCUGA
ensembl:lncRNA